rnacentral:rRNA from 1 species
UACGUAGGGUGCAAGCGUUGUCCGGAAUUAUUGGGCGUAAAGAGCUCGUAGGCGGUUUGUCACGUCUGCUGUGAAAACUCGGGGCUUAACUCCGGGCCUGCAGUGGGUACGGGCAGACUAGAGUGCGGUAGGGGAGACUGGAAUUCCUGGUGUAGCGGUGAAAUGCGCAGAUAUCAGGAGGAACACCGAUGGCGAAGGCAGGUCUCUGGGCCACUACUGACGCUGAGAAGCGAAAGCAUGGGGGAGCGAACAGG